ACGUCAUAGCCGGGCCGGCUUCCUGGGCUGCGCUGCCGGGUUGUAGAGGGCGACCAUCCCGGUCGCUAGUGGUGUUAAGGGGUGAGGCUGUGGGAGGGGCAGCCUCAGCGGAAGCUGGGAGGACAGCGGGCGCGGAGGUGUCUCCGGGGAGGAAGGCCGGGCCCGAGAGGAGGCGCCUCAGGGAGAGGAGACGAAGCGGGAGUCCCGGGGACAUCCCCCACUCCGUCCCCGGUCGGGGAGCGGGUCGCGCCCGCACGGGCGAGCCCCAGAUGCCAGGUGCUCGAGGCCACCAGCUGCGGUGACCGACUUGUCCCGGCUGCCCGGGAUGUGCAGCUUUUAGCGCUGACGGGAUUGCAGACCCGCAGCCCACGGAGGUGGCCCUGUUCUGCUCUUGACGCUCCACCCAGAGUUGACCCGGGAGACUUCUUCCAAUUAGGCAUUUUAAACGCGAUUCUUUUUAAUAUUGGGGCGAAGGCGCCCCUCCUAACACCCUCCCGAGCAGGCCCUGAGAUGCCUGUCCUUGCGAGGUAAAGACUCCGGCGGGAGUCUCCCUUCCUAAAGGUGGGACGACGAGAGGAGGGCGCCGCUGGCUCGGCAUUUUGUGCGGUCGAAGUCGGAGUUCAGCGCGGCUGCGGGGCAGUGAGGAUGAGUCUGUGCUGGGAUCAGAGCCCCGACCGUAGAGACCUCAGUUUUGGAAUUUCUCGCACGCUCUGCACCCCCAGGAUUCGGAGAUGCAGUCAGAACAGCCAUUAGCUUAAAUGUUCCCAUCAAAGAGCCUCGUGAUGGAACAGCUGUUUGACCCAUUCAGACGCCAGGAGGACGGACGCUCUCCCUAAAAGCAGGACGUGAAUGGAAGGGACCUGCCAUUAUGCAAACAAUACGGCACUCGGAACAGACACUUAGGGCGGCUCUCAUCUCAAAGAACCCAGUGCUUGUGUCCCAGUAUGAGAAGUUUGAUGCUGCAGAGAGGCGUUUGAUGAAUGAAGCCUUCCAACCAGCCAGUAAUCUCUUUGGACCCAUUACCUUGCAUUCUCAAUCAGAUUGGAUCACCUCUCAUCCUGAGCCUCCCCAAGACUUUGAAGAGUUUUUCAAUAAUCCUUCCAGAAAGACACCCUCUGCAGAGAAACACAGCAUUUAUAUACAGUGCAUUGGAUCUCUAGGAAACACCAGAAGUAUCAGUGAAGAGUAUAUUAAAUGGCUCAAGGGCUACUGUGAAGCAUUUUUCUAUGGCUUGACAGUAAAAUUCCUAGAACCGGUUCCUGUCUCUGCAACAAAGUGUUCCUUUAGAGUCAAUGAUAACACACAAAACCUACAAAUACAUGCAGGGCACAUCCUGAAGUUCUUAAAAAAGAAGAAACCUGAAGACGCCUUCUGUGUUGUAGGAAUAACAAUGAUUGAUCUUUACCCGAGAGACUCCUGGAAUUUUGUCUUUGGACAGGCCUCUUUGACAGAUGGUGUGGGGAUAUUCAGCUUUGCCAGGUAUGGCAGUGAUUUCUACAGCUCAAGCUAUGCAGGCAAAGUGAAGGCGUUUCAGAGAAAAUCUUCCAGUGACUAUUCGGUUUUUGAUAACUAUUAUACUCCUGCAGUGACUAGUGUUUUGCUGCUUCGGUCCUGUAAGACUUUAACCCAUGAGAUUGGACACAUAUUUGGACUUCGACACUGCCAGUGGCUGGCAUGCCUAAUGCAAGGUUCCAACCACUUGGAAGAAGCUGACCGGCGCCCCCUACAUCUGUGCCCUAUCUGUUUACGCAAGUUGCAGUGUGCUAUUGGCUUCAACAUUAUAGAAAGAUACAAGGCGCUGGUGAGGUGGAUUGAUGAUGAAUCCACUGACACACCUCGGGUCACUCCAAAACAUAGUCGUGAGGAUAAUGUGAAUUUGCCAAAACCUGUGGAAGACUUUAAGGAGUGGAAAGAGUGGAUAAUAAAAUGCCUUGCUGUUGCCCAAAAAUAAGAACCUUCAUAUAGGUGUAACUAAAAUAAACACUUGCACAUUAUGCUUUCUUUUGGAUUGAGUACUUCAUUGGAAUAAACUGUUUACUGAUUCUGCCCUGUAUCAAAGUAACAGAAGCACCUUUAAAGCACUUGAACUUGAAAUGAAGCUCAUUUUCAAUGAUUAAAACUCUAGACUCUUUCAUCUUUGUGGCCUGGUCUGUGUCAGCAAGCACAUUUCUAUUCUUGAAAUAUGUUCAUGUCUUCUGUGAAAGCCAGGACCCUCAGUAACUAUGCUUACUUGAGUGUGGGAGAGAAUGUGAUGGGAUUACCUGCCGCUGUGCCAAGAAUGGCCAGAAUGGCCUGCUGGUUGUGAACAGCAGCUUCAUUUCUGUGGUGGGAAACAGGCUGAAAACCUCGGACAGGACAAACCGCCUCUGCCCAAUCAGUGUGUGCUGGUCACAGCGACGAGACCUUAGAGCAGAUCAUCGGACUGAGUGCUGGUGGGCAGAGGGCGUUUCCCGCUUUCCCAUCUUAGCCUUGAGGGUGAAACUUAAAGGUAAUUUUUGUUUUGAACUUUGAAACCAAUUUUUUUCUUUUCUUUAAGAUUUUAUUUGUUCAUUUUUAGAGAGGGGAAGAGAGGGAGAGAGAGGGAGAGAAACAU